rnacentral:rRNA from 1 species
GCAGUCGAGCGAACAGAUAAGGAGCUUGCUCCUUUGACGUUAGCGGCGGACGGGUGAGUAACACGUGGGUAACCUACCUAUAAGACUGGAAUAACUUCGGGAAACCGAAGCUAAUGCCGGAUAACAUGUAGAACCGCAUGGUUCUACAGUGAAAGAUGGCUUUGCUAUCACUUAUAGAUGGACCCGCGCCGUAUUAGCUAGUUGGUAAGGUAACGGCUUACCAAGGCAACGAUACGUAGCCGACCUGAGAGGGUGAUCGGCCACACUGGAACUGAGACACGGUCCAGACUCCUACGGGAGGCAGCAGUAGGGAAUCUUCCGCAAUGGGCGAAAGCCUGACGGAGCAACGCCGCGUGAGUGAUGAAGGUCUUCGGAUCGUAAAGCUCUGUUAUUAGGGAAGAACAAGUGCGUAAGUAACUGUGCGCACCUUGACGGUACCUAAUCAGAAAGCCACGGCUAACUACGUGCCAGCAGCCGCGGUAAUACGUAGGUGGCAAGCGUUAUCCGGAAUUAUUGGGCGUAAAGCGCGCGUAGGCGGUUUCUUAAGUCUGAUGUGAAAGCCCACGGCUCAACCGUGGAGGGUCAUUGGAAACUGGGAGACUUGAGUGCAGAAGAGGAAAGUGGAAUUCCAUGUGUAGCGGUGAAAUGCGCAGAGAUAUGGAGGAACACCAGUGGCGAAGGCGACUUUCUGGUCUGUAACUGACGCUGAUGUGCGAAAGCGUGGGGAUCAAACAGGAUUAGAUACCCUGGUAGUCCACGCCGUAAACGAUGAGUGCUAAGUG